UAAAUGGGAAGGAGUUGCUCAUGUUGAUAAUACUGUUCCCUUACUGAUGCUACCUGUUCAUGUUACGAACAGACAGAAGGACUGGACUAUGAAUUGUCCAGUUCAUGACCUUCCCUCUACGCAGCAACACACAUGCGGCGGCAAGUGAUGUGAUUCCCAGUCAUUCGGCGCUUCAAAGUACGGUACUUUUGACCAGAUUUUUGUCAUCUUCCCACAUCAAUUGGUGGAUCAACAGUCUUCACAAAGGCAUGAUCAUGUUUCCAGCAUUACUGUUUCCAGCAUCCAUGAAAUGCCGAACAUUUUGAAGCUAUGAGGACGAGAUGGACUUUACAAAUCAUAAGUAUCAAAUUACUAGUCAAUGAGCGUACACUAUGCCCAAGAUGGAAGCAGCCAGCUGAGCCGUUCCUUGCAGUAUACGAUCGACCAUUCAGAUUGCAGACUUCGGUGCCAUCAGCUUGCCUGCUUGUACAGCUCCGUAAAACUUGCGGAUUCUGUUAAGCUGGAGUCUUUUCUUGGGUGGCAGGUUGUGACUCGAUGCUUCACAGUGUUCCUGGUUUUAUUUUUUUAUUUUUUUACAUAACUACAGAAGCUUAUGUGAUUCCCUGGUGAAUGCUUUUGCAUGCAUUUGCAUUAAGCGUCGCAGUCUGAGGCAACAUCCGUUUCAGUAAACUACUCAGAACUAGAAAAAUACUUUCAGUUACAAACAGAUUUAGAGGAACAUGGUAUUAUCUGAAUGAGAUUUAGAGUAGAGAUUAGAAAAUACCCUUGUUAUGCUCUUUUUCAAUAAUUGGGCACCUCACUCCAGACGUUAUCACUUGAGCUCAACAAUUCUUUAUUAAUAAAAACAGUGUAAUCUGA